rnacentral:misc_RNA from 1 species
AAGUCGUAACAAGGUAACCGUAGGUGAACCUGCGGUUGGAUCAUUAACAAUUUAGAGUCGGGGAGACUCUGCUGGAUUUAUCCAGUCAACCUUUGUGAACUGUUUCGAAUGGUGGGUACUUGGAAAAGUGCCCCCAACUUAUAAAACUUUAAUUAUUGACUGAAUCUGAGACAAUGAGAUACAACUUUUGACAACGGAUCUCUUGGCUCUC